GUGCUUGCUUUGGCAGCACACAUACUAGAACUGGAACAAUACAGAGAAGAUUAGUAUGGCCCCUGCACAAGGGUGACACGCAAAUUCAUGAAGUAUUCCAUAUUAAA
ensembl:snRNA U6 U6 spliceosomal RNA